GAGGGAAGGAAGAAAAACCAAUAACAAAACCUGGCUUCUCGUUCCCUCCGGAAACCGCGGGCCGGCAGGAAGUGACGAAGGAGAGGUCGUCCGGUCCGCUGGGUCUCGGCCUGCGCUCCCCGCCCGACUCCCGGAACAGUCCGAGCGGAGCGGACCGGCGCGGCGCGGCGGCCUCCGCACCUCAGCAGCCGCUGAGCGCCCGCCCGCUCGCCCGCCCGCCCGCGCGCGGUCGCGUCACCGCCCCGCCCCCGGCCCCGCCCCGCCCCGGCCGGGCCCAGCCGCGAGCUGCGGGUCGUACCCUGGGCCUGGGUGUCUUCUGCAAACGGAGCGAGCGGGGCGGCUGCCGCGUGCCAAGGGUCCCGGGGUGCGGGAGGCCGCAGAGACGCCGGCGGGAACGUGCCACCGCCCGUCGCGGGAGGACUGUCCUGUAUGCCACCUGGAGCAGAUUGCACAGGCUCGGGGACGCGGCUGGAGGAGGCCAGGUUUGGGCGUCUGAUCUAUGUGCCGCCUCUGCCCCUCCGUUCCCGGGUCCCUGUGGCCUUGGGAUCACACUGUCACCUGUUACAGAGUUGCAGUGCGUCAAAACAGAAUGGGUGCAAAGAAAAAAAUUUUUUACUCGAACGUGGACUGCGCAGUCCGCAGGCCUCAGCUGUGCUCCUUCCUCCAGGAAAGGGUGGAAGCCUGUGAGCUUGUUACCUCCUGCUUUAGGACCUC
rnacentral:lncRNA from 1 species